AUUGAACGCUGGCGGCAUGCCUUACACAUGCAAGUCGAACGGCAGCACGGGAGCAAUCCUGGUGGCGAGUGGCGAACGGGUGAGUAAUAUAUCGGAACGUGCCCAGUCGUGGGGGAUAACGUAGCGAAAGCUACGCUAAUACCGCAUACGAUCUAUGGAUGAAAGCGGGGGAUCGCAAGACCUCGCGCGAUUGGAGCGGCCGAUAUCAGAUUAGGUAGUUGGUGAGGUAAAGGCUCACCAAGCCGACGAUCUGUAGCUGGUCUGAGAGGACGACCAGCCACACUGGGACUGAGACACGGCCCAGACUCCUACGGAGGCAGCAGUGGGGAAUUUUUGGACAAUGGGCGCAAGCCUGAUCCAGCAAUGCCGCGUGCAGGAUGAAGGCC
rnacentral:rRNA from 1 species